AGAGAAAGAGAGCAAGAUGUUAGCCAAGAACAACCUGCCGGGAAAUAUCAGCAUGGAUUCAGACCAGGGAUGCAUAUAAUUCCCUGAAGCGUACAUGCACAUACCCGGCAAGUCAUCCUUGGCUACAUUCCACUCUCUAUCUC
rfam:Brachypodium distachyon strain Bd21 chromosome 1, whole genome shotgun sequence.